AAACCCACCAGUCACCACUCAGCCAGACUGGAAAGCUGGUCGCUUCUUGUCAGUCUAGCCUUGGGCACUACAGACCGGAACAAAAAGAAACUUCCAGAGAGGAGGUUCGUUUCAGAAGAAAUAUCAAUUAGUGCGGAUUGAGGAGGAAGUUGAAGGUGUGUAAUGGGUUAACGGCGGAAGGCCUCGCCUCACCUUUCGUGCGCGUCACCCGGCUCCGUGAAGUGGUCCCACCAUCCAAACCCAAAGUGGUGAAAUCUCAUCCUAGCCGCCGCCAGACGCGCACCCUCGCCUCGGUCGGUCUCCGCCCCGCCGCUCCAUCACCACACGCGCCCAGAAGACGUCGGGACCUGGAGGAAUAAGAGUGAUUCGCCGGAGUCAUGAAGGACCGCAUGCAAGAACUUAAACAUGGGAAGGAGACGACAGAGGAGGAGGAUGAAGUUGCUGUGGGGAUUGACAAAGGCUUUAUGGAUGAAUUCUUUGAGCAGGUGGAGGAGAUCCGGGGUUUCAUCGAGUCUCUGGCAGAGAAAGUUGAGGAGGUGAAGAGGAAGCACAGCGCCAUCCUCGCUUCACCUAACCCAGAUGAGAAAACUAAGGCUGAGCUGGAGGACCUCAUGGCAGACAUCAAGAAGUUGGCCAACAAAAUACGCUCCAAAUUAAAGAGUAUCCAGCAAAUCAUUGAGCAAGAAGAAAGCCAGAACAAGUCGUCAGCUGACCUGAGGAUACGCAAGACACAGCACUCCACGCUGUCUCGUAAAUUUGUCGAGGUGAUGUCAGAAUACAACACCACCCAGUCGGACUACCGGGAGCGCUGCAAGGGACGCAUUCAGAGACAGCUGGAGAUCACUGGCAGAAACACCACAAAUGAGGAGCUGGAGAGCAUGUUGGAGAGUGACAACCCGGCCAUCUUUACAUCGGGGAUCAUUAUGGACAACAUCACCGAGCAAGCUAUGAAUGAGAUCGAGACGCGGCACACUGAGAUCAUCAAGCUGGAAAAUAGUAUCAGAGAGCUUCACGACAUGUUCAUGGACAUGGCAAUGCUGGUGGAGAGCCAGGUGAAAAACAUCGAUCCUCUCUCAGUACCUACAGCUCUGUGGUUUAGGCCCCGGAAAAUGCAUGUGAAAACAGACUUGCAUGUGCAGUCAUAAAUUGGCAAUCCACCUGUCAACAUGGACAAUACAUAGAAGAGUUACGAUUCCAGUUUGUAGAUUUAGAAUUUCUUCCUGUUCAUGAUUUGAAAAUGUGCCCUAGCUAAUGCAAAGGUUCCCUAGCACGUUUGCUCAGUGAUCAAAUCAUCAAGCAGCUGUCCUGCUGCAGCAGCUGCUGCUUCUCCCUGUCAGGAAAAUAACUCUGCUUCAGACAAAUGGCAACUGGCAGUCUUUUAAUUUACUGACAAGUUGUAUAGUGUUUUAGUACAGAGUAGGAAGAAGGAUGUGUUUUCUCCUCCAUCUGGUUUUGUGUUUGCAAAUAUCUCAAUAGAAUUAGACAGAAUUUGGGGCACAGAUAAUAAUUAAUUGGCUCCAGCAUCAGUUUGUUGGAAUCAUAAUCUGUAUUUGGGAUUGCUGCCAUUAGCUGCCAUUCUUUUAUACGUAAUUAUCAUGUUGCGUUCAUGAGCUGGAAGGAAAAUCUGACGUCUGGGACUUUUGAGUUGGCAACUAAACAGCGCUGCAUUAAAUUGAUGUUUUGUAAGAGCCUUAAAUUGAAUAAACCUUAUUUUUUACAGGGGCAUGGAUCUGUAGGCUGAACGAACCCCCACGGACAUUAAAUGUUUCCCUCAUCAGAAAUAUUUAGUCUGAAUUGUGCGAAAGUGAAUACGAGCAAAUGCAUAGUAAAAUAUGGUGAUUGACAAAUAUGAAAGUCAGUUUUUGCAUGGAAUUGAUUUGAAUUCUAAAUGCAAUAGCAGGAUAAUUUUAGUGUGGGGGUGAUAAUUGCUUAAAUGUCUAAUAAUUCAUUAGUAUUGUGUGUUUCUGUGUGUUCUGUGUCAUUCUCUUGUCAACCAUAUGAAUGCUCUAUCUAAAUAUCUCAAUUAACUAACCCUUCUUUUAUUAACAGAAUGCCACAUCUUUUAAAAUGAUACGCGAGUCUGUUCAUUUUGCUUUUCUCAGCUUUGCAUUGUCUUUCCCCUCUUUUUCUCACGCACUGUGACACCACAAUGACUCUCAGCUCUAGAGAACAGAGAGCAGCGCUCCCCUUCUCAUAGAGAAAGGGUGAACUGGUGAACAACAUUGAGCGCAGUGUGCUGGACGCCCGUGAUUAUGUGGAGCAGGCAAAGGAGAGCAUUCCCAAAUGCAAAAAGUUCAAAAAGACCGGCAAGCGGGUGAGAUGUGAGAUGCACACAUUCUACCAACUGACUAAUUAUUUCCUCUUUCCUUUGUCCCUUCCUGCCCUUCCUCUUCUCUCUCCUUCUCAUUCUCUCCCAUCAUUUCUCUCCUUUCCCUCACCUCCUCUCCAUCUGUAUCCAUUCCUAUUUCCUCUUCAUGUCUCCCACACCUCCUCUGUAACUAACCUCUCCUAGGGGGAAAUGAUAGACCGCAUAGAGUACAAUGUGGAGCACUCAGUAGACUAUGUGGAGAGGGCGGUAUCAGACACUAAGAAGGCGGUUAAAUACCAGAGUAAAGCCCGGAGGGUGAGUCGCAUACACAGUCAAAUAAUGGAUGGGCACACUCAUGCUAUGAAAACUUGAAAGAUAACUUCAGCAUUGCAAAUAAGCAUUGCAUGUAUAUAUUGUAAUGUGUAAUGGCCGUCAGUGUGUGUGUGUCCAUGUGGAGCAUGUGUGUCUUUACUGUAUUUGAGAUAUUCUACAGCAGUGGUUUAACAUCAGGGGUAUGUGUACCUUAAGGGGUAGACCACGACUACAGGGGUGUCAAUCUAAAGGAAGCAUGAACAACAUGAACAUCACCUGCUGCUGAGAGUUUAGGAAAUAUGGUAAGUAUUGUCAGCAGGCAGAGAAGCUAAAAUAGAUCGCUACAACUAAUGGGGAUAAAUUAUUCAAAUGUGGGACAUGCCGAGUUGUAGUGGUACAAAUAUAAAUUCCAGCUCUUUCAAUACAUCCAUAAAUCCACAUAAAAACACAAAAUGUUGUUUUUACUCUUUUUUUUUGUUGCAAACAAUGUAUAUUAGUGAGCUUAAGGGGGACUGGGAAGUGGAUUGUUAUCUUUUGAUAAAACCAGGCUAGCUGUUUCUCCAGUCUUUAUGCUAAGCUAAGCCAACCUGCUGCUGGCUCCAGCUUCUUAAUGACCGUAUCUGAGUGUGAUGUUGAUCGUCUCUUAACUCUCAGCUUAAAGCCAAGAAGUGUAUCCCCCCAAAUCUUUAACUGUUUUAAAAACUAUAACCUGUUUUUAAUUCCCCUUUUUAUCGACACAUUUGCUACAUCAGUGGUGUCGAUGACGGGGUACUUGAGCUCAUCUGACUGGGCUGUUGAGCCACAGCAGACAAAAUCAACUGGGAACAACCGGUCCUCAGUUCAUAAAGAGGGUUAUUCACUGCUUUACCUUCAUUCCUUUAUUUAACAAUUUGUGCCACAAUGGAACAACUCUGCCACCUUUUGGUAAAUCUUUAUAAUAGCACUCAAAGAUUGAAGAAUUUCAUUCAUCACAUGACCCCAAUCUACUACAAAGGUCAUCGACAUGAUUGUUUCCUCAGGUAUAAUUAAAGCACCACAUUUCUUUCCCUUUUUCCUUUUCUUCUGUCUCUGUUUCUCAUUCGGUCUCUCAUUACAUCCACUGAAUCAUUAUCUGACACUUAGUCCGCCUUCUUUCUCCUCCCAUUUACUCCAUCCAGAAGGUGAUGCUGAUAGGAGGUUGUAUUGCAGCAUGUCUCACGGUCCUCAUUAUUUCCCUCGCAGUUGGACUCAGUUAGGACCCUCAGAACUCCCCACAGAGGAGUGUGUCAUGUGUCAAAUGUACUGUAUAGUGGGGCUCUGUGUGUAACUGCUCUAAAAGGAAGCAGGCUGACAUUACUGUCCUGAAGGCAGUAGUCACAGUGCAAUAUGUCUUUGACGUAAAUGUUUUAAUAGAUACUUUUUUUCUAAACUAAACAGUUGAACUUUUUAAAGAGCUAACUUUCUUUUGUGCUUUGUCUUUGGGUCAUGAUUCGCAUACUGUACCUUCGUCACAUGCAUGUUUUGCAGUCUGGUGAAUGGCUUUGCAUGUUUUUGUGCAAACACAAAGCUGCAGUUAUGUGGUUAUGUUAAUUGAUGAUUUAAAUAAAAAACCUUUGAGUAUAUAUUAAAUAUGAUUCACAUUUAGUCUUUAUUCAAGCUGCAAUGUCAUUUUCUGCUUUUCUUGGAAACUGCAAUUUGUUCAGAUUAUUAUAAAUAUUGUUACAUGCGUGUUACAUGACUUGUACACUAACAGGUUUUUCUCUGCUCCCAA